rfam:Rhodovulum sulfidophilum DNA, complete genome, strain: DSM 2351.
GGUUCGGGAGCGGCCGGUGGGACGGACCGCAGGAAUGGAACCUUACCCCCCUCAUCGCGAGCGGCGCGCCACCGGGGCCCGACGGUGGAUGCG